rnacentral:pre_miRNA from 1 species
UUGCUACUCCCUCCGUUCCGAAUUACUUGUCGCAGAAAUGGAUGUAUCUAGAUGUAUUUUAGUUCUAGAUACAUCCAUUUUUGCGACGAGUAAUUUGGAACGGAGGGAGUAUCUC